GCGCACCAGGCGCGAAACUUCACACUGUGCGAAAGCACGAUGAGGGAAUCCCAAGUGCUUGCACGUAAGUGUAAGCUGUUUCUCUGUCUAAAACGCAGAGAGAGUAAGGGCUGGGUAAGACGGGUGCCAGCCGCCGCGGUAAUACCUGCAGCUCAAGUGGUGACCGUUAUUAUUGGGCCUAAAACGUCCGUAGCCGGUUUAAUAAAUGCCUGGGUAAAUUGUGUAGCUUAACUAUACGAAUUCCGGGUAGACUGUUAAACUUGAGACCGGGAGAAGUUAGAGGUACUCCUGGGGUAGAGGUGAAAUUCUGUAAUCCUAGGGGACCACCAGUGGCGAAGGCGUCUAACUAGAACGGGUCUGACGGUGAGGGACGAAGCCCUGGGGCGCAAACGGGAUUAGAUACCCCUGUAGU
rnacentral:rRNA from 1 species